rnacentral:tRNA from 2 species
AUAAAAAGGUAAGCUAAUAAAGCUUUUAGGUUCAUACCCUAAAUAUAGAAGAUGAAACUUCUCCUUUUUA